CAGUAGCCGCGGGAAUACGUAGGGUGCGAGCGUUAAUCGGAAUUACUGGGCGUAAAGCGUGCGCAGGCGGUUUUGUAAGACAGGCGUGAAAUCCCCGGGCUCAACCUGGGAAUGGCGCUUGUGACUGCAAAGCUAGAGUGCGGCAGAGGGGGGUGGAAUUCCGCGUGUAGCAGUGAAAUGCGUAGAUAUGCGGAGGAACACCGAUGGCGAAGGCAAUCCCCUGGGCCUGCACUGACGCUCAUGCACGAAAGCGUGGGGAGCAAACAGGAUUAGAUACCCCAGUAGUCCCUGUCUCUUAUAC
rnacentral:rRNA from 1 species